rnacentral:rRNA from 1 species
CGGACGGGUGAGUAAUGUAUGGGGAUCUGCCUGAUGGCGGGGGAUAACUACUGGAAACGGUAGCUAAUACCGCAUAAUGUCUGCGGACCAAAGCGGGGGACCUCCGGGCCUCGCGCCAUCGGAUGAACCCAUAUGGGAUUAGCUAGUAGGUAAGGUAACGGCUUACCUAGGCGACGAUCCCUAGCUGGUCUGAGAGGAUGAUCAGCCACACUGGGACUGAGACACGGCCCAG